rnacentral:ncRNA from 1 species
UAGCACUGGGGGCGUCCUUUUGGACUGAGAGUGAACUCCUUGAACCUGAUCCGGUUGAUACCGGCGUAGGAAAGUGAUUG